GCCGAGGUCGCGGGGCAGGGUCGCGAAGGCCCGGCGCGGCGAGAAAGGCCUCCCUCGGCGCAAGCAGCGCGUGUCCCGGGCGUCUGAAGGCACCGGGUGCUGCAGAGCUUCUCUUCUUACGGCUCGGCCGUCCAGCUCUUGGUGCCGGGCAGGUCCCUUCAGCACCCCGGAUCUCAGGGGUCGGACUAGGGCUAGAAGACCACCCGGGCCCUUCCCGCCUGCGGACCUGCCUCCUUCCGGUCCCUGCGCAGGAAGGGCUUGUUUCCUGGGGAGCUCUCGGGGCUCACUAGGCUUUGGCGCUCGUGGAAAAGAAUGGGAAAGAGGGCCCUUUGGAACAAGAGUCAUUCAUUUACUUAUUGAAUUUACACCAGAAAGGAUUUAUGGUAGUUUACGGUCUAAAUAAAUUGGAAAAGUGCAGAGGUGGGUCAGAGUUGCAAAUUAGUAUAAUAAAGUUAGAUGAAGCCAAGAAUCGUUAAUACAAAGAAAGAAUGCAUGCUUUCAGUAAAAACCGGCAUUUUUGUUGGAAAGUUUUCUCAAUAUUUUAGAUUUAACCCAGAAAAGAUCCUUAGCAUAGUUUUAAUUGAGGACAUCCUGGGGAAAUUGUGGAAGUGGGAAACAGAAUUAACUACCCUGCAUAGUAAUAGGCCCCAGAUCUCUACGCAGUUUGUUUUCGGUAAACAUUUCUCCCCAAACAUAUUACUUGUUAAUUGUAAACGUUUUAAAUGGUCCAGGAAUGAAUAAUAAAGGGAAAGCCCCGCCUUAUCCAAACUCCACGGUAGUAACUGUAAAUUUCGUUGUGCGUUCAUUCACUAUCCCUUUCUCACUUGUGUUAAAAACUUAAGAAUGGAGUAUUUGAUACCAAAAACUUAAGACACGUGUAAGUUACGAAGCAAAGCAUACGAACCCAUUUUCCAAUUUAAGAAAUAGAAUAUUUCUGUUACCAAGAAGCUCCCAGGAUGCAUCUUCCUCAGGCAGUGGGUCUUUAUAGUAAUAGCUUCCUACCAUUUGUACUUAUUUUACUUGCUUUUUUCAACUAACAGCUGUAUUUUGAGCUUCAUCCAUAUUGAUGUGUGAGAUUGUGGUUAAUCAUUCAGUUGUGAGAGUAUAUCAUACGGUUUUUCUAUUCUUCUCAGUGGACAUCUGGGCAAUUCUGGAAACACGAGGACUGGCUGCUACACAUUCUUGUUACGGGUGGUCUAAUACAAGGAAUGGAAUUCCUGGAAUAUAUGGUAGAGGCCUCUUCAGUCUUCUAAUAUGAUGCCAAGUUGUAAAGGCAUUUCCAUCCCUACUGGCAAUUACACUCCUACCAGCAGAAACAUCAGUUCUUGCUCCACAUACUUGUCAACAUUUGAUAAUCAUCAGGAAGUUUAAUUUUUGAUUGAAUAGGGUAUUGAAAUGAUUUCCAGUAGCAUGUUGUCGAGGAGUGGUCAUCUUGUCUGUAAUUGUAAAGGGAAUGCAUUCAUAUUUCAAGUGUCAUAUUAGCUAUGGAUGUGCCUUUAUCAGGUUAACGAAGUCCCAUGCUAUGUCUAGAAGGGUUUUUUACUGUUGUUUAUGUAUUUGUCUGGUUUUUAAGACUGAAUAAAUCUUGAAAUUUA